UGCAGAGCUGUUUGGGAGAUGUUUUGGAGGGUUCUUGGGGGUGUUUUGGAGGUGUUGGAGUCAAGUACAGAGAGCUUGGGAGAGGUGGAGGUGAGAGCUGUGGGAAUUGGGGGCUGUAGAUGUUAGGGGCUGGGUGGAGCCUGAUUGUGUUUGGGGGCUGCAUGGCUGCUGUGUCUUAACUGCUGCUUUUGCACUGUUUCCUGCUGGGGAGAGCCUGAAUGGGUUGUGGACUGCUGUGUCAACUGCUGCUUUUGUACUGUUGGGGGGCUAUACAGUAAUGGCUACUGUGUCUUCACAGCAUUUUGGAUGUGUUGGAGUGUUGGAGAAGAGUUGGAGUCCAGUAAAGAGAGAGAUUGGGAGAGGCAGAGGGCGAGGUAGAGAAGUGGAGGUGAGAGAGAGAGGAACAGUUGUGUGUGUGAGAGAGCGCACAUUCAGAAAAUGGGUCCAAAGCAUGGAAUGUCAUGUCCCUGGAGGACAAGAUCAAAGUCUUGGACUGCCUGAAGGAGGCCAGAGCAACAGCGUAGUUGGGAGAUUGUUCUGGGUCAAUGAAUUGACCAUCUGCAGCAUCAAGAAGAAUGAGGAUGCCAUCAGAGGUAGGGUGGCUAGUGGGACCCAGUCCUAUCUCAAGGUCUCAUACAUGCCACGAGACCCCAACUUUGAGAAGAUGGAGAAGAGAAGGCCCUGAACUUAUGGAUGGAGGACCAGGCACAGAAAAAGUUCCCUCUCAGCACCUGAAUGGACAUGAUCAAGGUGUGGCAGAUCUACUGGCACCUGGUGGAGAGUUCUGGAAAGGGAGACCCUGAGAAGUUUCAAGCCAGCAAGGGCUGGUUUGAAAACUUCAAGAAGCUCUUCAGCCUUCACAAUGUGAAGCUUGUUGGGGAGAUUGCCUCUGCAGACCAUGAGAGUGCAGCCACAUUUCCUGCUAAGCUGAAGAGGCUGUUCAAGGAGAGGGCCUAUGUGCCGGACCAGGUCUUCAACAUGGAUGAGACUGGACUCUUCUGGAUGCCUAAGCAGAGGAUGCCUAACCACACCUUCCUCGCCAAGGAGGAGAGAAGAGGCCGCAAAGGACAGGCUGACCCUUCUGUUCUGCGCCAAUGCCUCAGGUGGCCCAAUGGUGUACCGGUCCAAGAAUCCAUGAGCACUGAAGGGGAAGAACAUGAACCACCUCCCUGUGGUCUGGGCAGCAAAUGCAAAGGCCUGGGUAAUACGCUCCAUCUUCAUAUUUUGGUUUUAACUGCUUUGGGCAUGAGGUGAAACACUACCUAAGAGAGAAGAACCUGACUUUCAAGACAUUGCUGCUCUUGGACAAUGGCCCUGGGCAUCCUCCAGAUCUGCUGCUUGCCCACUCCAAUGUGGAAGUGGUGUUCAUGCCUCCAAACACCACAUCGCUCAUCCAGCCGAUGGGCCAAGGCAUCAUCCAGGCUUUGAAGAGUUACUACACCAGGAGGAACUUUGGACACGUAGCCGACCUGAUGGAUAGAUACCCCAACAUGACCCUGAAGGAAGCCUGGAAAGGCUACCACAUCACCCAUGCCUUGACCAUCAUCAAGGAGGUAAUGGAUGAGGUCAGGAGCAGCACCUCGAAUGCCUACUGGAGGAAGGUGUGGCAGUGAGAGACAACACUGAUGUGCCAGCUGCGGAGGAAGAGGUUGGGAGGAUAGUGGCUUGUGCCAGGUGAUUUGGCAGUGAGGGCUUUGAGGACAUUCAGCCAGCUGAAUUUGCUGAGCUCCUGGAGUCACACUCUGAGGAGCACCCAGAGCAAGACCUCGAGGCCCCGAUCAAAUCCUCCAGUUAUCAGGAAGAAGCUGGUGAAGAAGAGGAAGACCGCAGGACCACAACAAAGUUGACCCUGGAGAAGAUCAAUAGGUUCCUGACACAUGCCUGGUAGAUGAGGCAGUGGACAUGGACCCCUUUAUGCAGCACAGCCUGACAUCCAGGCAGGGGCUACAUGACCUGAUUCAGCCCUACACAGAGGUCCAAAAAGACAUCCAGAAGAAGAUGGCACAACUGACACUCCUAAGCUUCUUCAAGAGAGUACAGCCUGGCACUUCAGAGCAGUCUGACACUCCAGAGCGGCUUGUCACUUUGGGGAGCAGCUGUUAACUGCCUGCGACACAGGAGGAGGAGGAGGAGGAGGAUGUUGCUACCCACCUUUCCCCUUAAAGAAAGCACCUCUUGCACAAUUCCUCUAGCACUUGUGCUAUUGUACAAGAGGGCUAUGAGUCCAGAAUGCUUCCUGUGCUCUGGAAGAACUUAAACUGGAAACAAGUGGCUGACCCUCCACAACAUGUUUCCGAUCUUACUACAUGCUUCUGGAGCACAGGGAAUAUUCACAAGGAGCUUUCACACAACAGUGUGAGCACAGGAGGACAGAGAAAGUUGCAUGAGGGGUGCUGCUGUAUUCCCACACACCCUAUUUAUGUGUGUUUUGUUAGACAGGAUGUCAGCUCAUUUGUUUAGUGGUGGUGGUAGGGUUGGGAGGAUUGUUUAAUAUAUUGUACCAAAUAUGGACACACCUAUAUGAUUUUAUAUGGCAAUUUAUAUGCAUUUUCUUUCAUAGUGAUGGAAAAGAUGCAUAUAUUUUUAUCUAUCUAUCUAUCUAUCUAUCUAUCUAUCUAUCUAUCUAUCUAUCUAUCUAUCUAUCUAUCUCUUGAUCAUCCAUAAUUUAUAACUGGCCCUAUCCACCCCCAGCACAGUACCUCCAGUGACAGUUGCUGGUGUCUAUCUUAUGUUUCUUUUUAGAUUGUGAGCCCUUUGGGGACAGGGAUCCAUCUUAUUUAUUCAUUAUUUCUCUGUGUAAACUGCCCUGAGCCAUUUUUUUGGAAGGGUGGUAUAGAAAUCACAACAAACAAACAAACAAAUUCAAAGAAGCAACACAAAGGAAAUUUAUUACACACACACACACACACACACACACACACACACACACACCCCAUUCUGGCCACCAGAAAAAGUAAGUUCAGUUUAAUAAAUAGGAAAGUAAUUCAGAUUCUGUGCACAAGAUAGACAAUCUCUUACUUCAGUUCCCCAAAAUUGUUUAUUGGAUUGUUGCUUCACUGGAGCUGCAAGAUCCAAUGCGGACUGACAUAUCUGUGACAGAAUGCGCCAGGACGGAAGGAAGCUUUGUACUAAAUGACAACUCACAUACUCAGAACAGCCAACCUCAUAUAAGACUGAGCGAAAUGUUUUAAUAUCAUUUUUCCACUUUUCUAUUUCUUUAAAACUCUUUUAUGCUUUUUUUACACUACAUCACUGCUACAUCCCCGAUGAUCACAGCAGGAGGACUGCUUCACACAUGCACACUAAUAUGGUAAAGGAGAUCUAUGUGUAUAGCUGGUAUAGAUGCACAUUGCAAUGCUCAUCUAGGUCUCAGAUAAGGGAUGUAUCUGAUGAGCAUGCAGAUCCCUAUCCAGGGCUGUCAGGCACAUACAGCAGAAUGCAAGAGAACUGAACCUGUAGGGGGAAAUGCUGAGAUAUGCAGACCUGAUGUCAGAAUGUCUAAUAGAGAUUGGGCAUAUAUUCUUUGAAGAGUAGAUUCCCAUUCCAUUUCACAAACUGCUUUUGAAAAUCAGUUUGAUUUUUGAAAAUCAAAGGCAGCUUUCUAUGUGGCAUGGGGUUGGGCACAUGGACCUACUUGUGUGGUUCUUUGACUCCUAGCCAUUAUUUAUGGUUAAGAUGCCAUCAAUAAUGGCAUUCAAACAUAUGGUCAUAUGGAAAAAUGUGUGUGUUUUUCUACGUGACAGUAAAAAUGUCAUAUAAUUCUUUGAUUUUUUUAUACAUUAAUUUUUUCAUAUAUAUUUUAAAAAAUAAUAUGCCCCCCCUUGGGUUUUCUUUUUAACACCCAAGUAGAUAAAAUGUCUUUUGAAGCAUCUCUAAACUCAUUAGCCAUAAAUAAAUACAGGUUCAAACAUAUUUACUCAUUUAUGUAUUUAUUUAUUUAUUUGUUUGUUUGUUUGUUAGAUUUAUAUCCCACUCUUUCCUGGCAGCGCAGGUAAACAGAGAAUCCCACACGGAAUCAUGAAUCCCACAAUGCACCGCACCCUGAGUACAGUUCAUUGGGUGAUUUCCCCAGGGGACUGGCACUCUAGGCGACUGUCUCUGUGUCAGCACUUGAUGCAAGCAGCUCACACUGACACACAAUCCUGGGAACCAGGUUUAGGGUAUAUUUGCACCAUAAAGCUCAGCUAAGAGCUGAGCUUCAUCACUGGGUUUAGGAUCCACACAGAUCGUGGCAGUUCUCACAGCAGUCAAGAACAGGCUCAGAGGCUCCAGUUAGUGAACUCUGAUAAGUCUAUGUUCCAUGGCUUGGUUAAUCCUUUUGAAAAGCCCUCCAGGUUAGCAGUCAUCACCCAUGAAUGCUAAGUUUGCAGAAAAUAUUUUGGUAUGGGACUUUGUGAACACGUUUUGGAAGCACAAGCAGGGAUGCUGCAAAUUUUCCCCAAGCCGGACGUGGGAAAUAUUGAAGGCCUGUUAAAACCAUCCUUUAGUGAGAGCUGAACUGUAUGAACCCAUGAAUUCUCCUCCAUAUCAGAUGAAAAUGUGAACAAGGAAGAACUGAAGGAUUCUCUUACAAUUUAAUAUAUUGAAGCUCUGUGCUCUUUUACACUAACAGAGGGUGAAUCCAGACAUUUCCAGAGCCAAAGCCAAGCGUAUGGGAUGAAAGCCAAACCUCCAUGGCAGACCCAUGGAGGGCAUGUUGAAACCCUGCCUCCUGGUAAACCAGGGUAGAGGUGCAAAGGCAAACUCUUCAUAGGGAACACUCAGGGUCAAAGGAUCCCCAGUGGGGGCGUGCCUUUCCUCAGAUUUUCAUGGUGCACUCCUUAAAACAAGCCUCAGAGCUAAGCAAUGGAGGAAGUCUCUGCUGCUUAGCUAUGAAGUUUCUUAGAAAGAAUCCCUCCCCGAAAAAUGCAAAGUUGCCUCCUGCACAACCUCCACUUUCCAAGGGGCAUCCUUAAAAAAAAAAUUAAAAAGACUACACAAGGGAGGAUUUCUCCCAUGCAUUGCAAGUAGGCUUUUUUGAGCUGUGGGCUGCCCUAGAUGAAAAGCUGAGUUAUUUCAGGAGUGGUGUUUUUUUUUUAAAAAAAAACAACUGGGCUCAUUUCUAACCAAGGCAAUUGUAGGAAUGUUUGCCCAUCUCUAAAUACAAGUAUAUGAUGUUUAGAGGAUCGCCCCAUCUUCAUGUUUACUGAAUUCUCAAAGAAUUCUAUAAGACUGAUAAGGUAGGAUUUCCCCUAGUAGAGCCAUGCUGCUUGCAUGUGAGUGCCCAAGACCACUCCAGGCUGAGCUCAGCAUGCAGCCAGCAGCAUGGAUUUUGUUUCAGACAACCUUUUCAGCCCUGAUAACAUAGAAAAGGGUUAGCUCUGGCUGACCAAAAAGUGUUAUGUGUGACUGAUCUUUCACACUCACACCACAUUUCCUUGGGAAAAAUAAAUACGAAGAAACAACAAUGUAUGUAUUCUACUUGAUAAUGAUGGGUUUAUUGCCCAAACCAAAGGUUAUGACAAGUCUGGCGUACCAAAAAUACAAAACUUUGAAUAAAAAAUCACAGUGGUGGUAGUCUGGGAAAGCUUUGAAUCCAGGGAGCAGAAACACUGCUUUCUUUCUGUCUUUUGAACCAUCCUUAUAUCUUUCAACAAAUACUAUAAUUCUGGAGCUUUUGUCUUCAUAUUCUUCCCUAUUUUACACAACAAAUUUAGAGCCCAAAUAUUCAAACUUAAGCAUUCUCCCCCCCACCUACACACAGACAUUUUUAAAAAAGUGUUACAAACAUAAGAAAAUAUAUUCAAAGUGUUUUCGUUACAGGAGCCAUUCUGUACAGGAUAAAAGCUAAAAAGCAAGUUUAUUCAUGAAUCAAUCUUCUUUAUUCACCUCUUGGUUCCCACCCCCCCCCCCCCCGCCACUGCCUGUAAUGUCAAUGCAUGUUUUUAGAAUUAUUUCAAGGACAUUUCAUGUUAUCCUAGAGUCCACAGACAGGCAGCCAGAAGUGAGAAAGAUUUGAAGCCAUGGCCUGAAACUGUCUCUCAUUACAUUUGGAAAUUUCUUUCAGAAUAUUGAGGGGGUAGGGGGGACAUCUGCCUGCAGUGUAAUGUGUGCAUGUGUAAAAAUAUGUGCAUUUCCUCCUUUUAGGCUUCAGAGUUCUCAUAGCAGUUUACAGAGAAAAAUAAAUAACAAUAAUAACAAAGGUCAAACAAAAAGCCACUUCCAAGAAGUAUCAGAAGUAGCCAAUACACCUCAUUAAAAGUGGCAGACACUUUUGAACUCUCUUCAGGCAAUGCCUCCAAAUAACCAAAUCAGGGAGUACUUUAGGUUCAUGAUCUGCAGAUUAGUUAGGUUAGCAAAUUCAAGCUUGCAGUAGCAGUGGUCGGAAUAUGUACAUACUGCUUUCAACAAAAGCUCUCAAAACAGUUUACAGGAUGGCAGGAGUAAAAAGAUGGUUCUUUGUCCAAAAGGUCUCAUAACUUAAAAAGAAACAUAAGGGCAACAAUGACAAUAGCCACUGGGAUGGAUGCUAUUCUGGGACAAAUAGAGAUGAAUGCUCUCCUCCUGCAAAUAUGAGAGAGACACCACAUUUAAAAAGGUGCCUCUUUCUCCAGUUAGCAAGAGAUUAAGACACAUGACUCCACCUGUAUUUUUCAUGUGUUCCUUCUCUGGUACUGAAGGGAACAUGACUCAGUGAAUGAGCACAUGGUUCAGAGUGUAAAAUCCCAGGUUCACUUUCCUGACCAUUAAAAGGCUGGGAAACACAUAGGACUGAGCUGUGUGUGCUUUAACUCUUUCAGUAGUGCUGAAAGGCACCCUCACAUUUAGUAUGAUUUUUCAGAACAUCUUUCUUAGGAAUUUCCCCUCUCUGGAUACUUAAUGUGAUAAGACUGCAUUAUUGUCUUAAUUUUUGUUUUACAGAAUGUGUGAUGAUAUGUAAAUCAGAAAGACUGCAUAGGACCAUUACACAGUCCUAUAAUGGAAUCAAGGAUUUUGUUUUCACAUCUCAUAGAUCAAUUUCUAUCAGAGGAUGGGUCCUGGUCAACAAUUCCUGGAUAGAAAAAAACUAGCUGAACCGAAGGUGAUUUGCAGUUGUUUCUUUAUAAUGCAUUCCAGUCAAAAGAAGAAAAGGUCGUCCCUCAAAAAUGAGAGGUUAACCAUAACAAGCAUUGUAAUCUCUUAUCAAUGCUUACAACAGGUGUUGGUGUUGUGGGGGGGAUGAGAAAGCAGUAGACUUAUUUUCUUCAAGAUUCUAUGGUGCAUGUUGCAAUUAACUAUGACAGACAAAACCUGAGGCUGCUACUGACCUUUUUCCUCCCUACAAAGCUCAAAACAGUCCACAGAUUGAAAGCACCACAUAUCUGAAGACUGAGAAAGACUUUGUCAAUCUAUUGAGUAACACUUCAAGACAGCUCCCUUUGGAUUUAAGGAGGAUUCUGGAAUGUGCUUAUAAUUUACAAAAUAAGUAGCUGGAUUAUUGAUUGUACUUCAUUGACUGAGGAAUAUUUUGAAGUUUGAUCUUAGUGCUACAAAUAUCACAUUGUUCAAUUUAUAAUAUAGUCUCAGCUUUCUGUUUGUAUUAUUAUCUAAAGGCUCACCUAUAUUGUAUCAUAUUUGUGUGUAAUUUCCUAUUCCAUUGAUAAUAAAACUUAUUUCAUUAUCAGUUA